UCAUCCUACGGGGGGCAGCAGUGGGGGAUAUUGCACAAUGGGGGGAACCCUGAUGCAGCGACGCCGCGUGGAUGAAGAAGCGCCUCGGCGCGUAAAGCCCUGUCAGCAGGGAAGAAAAGGACGGUACCUGAAGAAGAAGCCCCGGCUAACUACGUGCCAGCAGCCGCGGUAAUACGUAGGGGGCAAGCGUUAUCCGGAUUUACUGGGUGUAAUGUGGGCGCAGACGGCGAUGCAAGCCAGGAGAGAAAGCCCGUG
rnacentral:rRNA from 1 species